UACGAAGGGGACUAGCGUUGUUCGGAAUUACUGGGCGUAAAGCGCACGUAGGCGGAUUUGUUAGUCAGGGGUGAAAUCCCGGGGCUCAACCUCGGAACUGCCUUUGAUACUGCAAAUCUCGAGUCCGAUAGAGGUGGGUGGAAUUCCUAGUGUAGAGGUGAAAUUCGUAGAUAUUAGGAAGAACACCGGUGGCGAAGGCGGCCCACUGGAUCGGUACUGACGCUGAUGCGCGAAAGCCAGGGGAGCGAACGGG
rnacentral:rRNA from 1 species